rnacentral:lncRNA from 1 species
UAUUAACGUGGAUUUGGACGACAAUAGGUUUUUAGUUUGUGAUGUUUCAUGUGAUGAUCAUUUUCUUGUUCAUCGUCUUUGAAUUGAAAUGAGGAUAUCUAUGGAAAAGUAACUAAUCUGAAAGUAAGCCAACAUAUCGUUUGUCCUUUGUGUGCUAAAGAAAAGAUUUUCUUUUCGCAUCAUGAGGAAGUAUUACAUCAAUUAAAAAAUGUUAGGAAGUUGAUUACUUGUCAUGGAAAAGUAUACCAAUGGAAAUUAUUUGUUAAAGAAGUAUAAUUCUAAGGGUUUUAAGAAUAAAUUGGUUGAACCCAAAAUCUGGAGGAAGUACCUAUAUCCAUACACAGAAUAUGCCCAUUAAAAAUACUAGUCCAAAUUUGCUUUAAUGGUAGACAAUUAUUCAAUACAAAUUAACUUUUUAAGUGACUGAAAUAUUAAAUAGUUUAGAAUAUGGUAUAACAAUGUAAAAAAAUAUUAUUUUCAGGAACGAUUAGGGCCCGAUAUAUUUGAAACUCAUGUUGGACAUAGUAUUGAGUUGGGUAGAAUAUUAUUCUACGUUAAGUGAGGGUAUCAGAUACCUAUUAUUGUACUGUAUUUUAAUAUAUACAUUAGAAUUGUUGGUUUUUUCAUAUUUGUUUUAUUUAUUAUUUUACUUACAAGUUAUAUAAAGUUAACACUAAAAUCUACUUUUUGACUUAUAUAAGUUAGUCUGUGGUUUAAUGCGUGAUUACAUCCACAUGAUUUCAAGUUUUUAAAAUAUAAAUAUUAUAACUGGCUUUAAAAACUCCAUUAAACUGUUAAAAGUGUAAUUUAUUUCAAAAUAAAUAUACAUAUAUAGGUAUAUAUUAAUAUCGAAAAACAUUUUUAUUUCCUUAACACCAAUUUAAUCAUCACAUACAUAUGUAUAAACAUUUAUUUACGUUAUUUCAAAUGAAGACCACAGGAAAAACCAGCUUUGUUCAUUUUAACUGGAGCCGAGAAAAUGCAAUUACGAGUGAACUACUCUGGUUUUUCUCCUGUAGGG